rnacentral:rRNA from 1 species
CAGCCGCCGCGGUAACACAGAGGAUGCAAGCGUUAUCCGGAAUGAUUGGGCGUAAAGUGUCUAUAGGUGGCUUUUCAAGUCCGCCGUCAAAUCCCAGGGCUCAACCGUGGACAGGCGGUGGAAACUACCAAGCUGGAGUACGGUAGGGGCAGAGGGAAUUUCCGAUGGAGCGGUGAAAUGCGUUGAGAUCGGAAAGAACACCAACGGAGAAAGCACUCUGCUGGGCCGACACUGACACUGAGAGACGAAAUCUAGGGGAGCAAAUGGGAUUAGAUACCCCCGUAGUCCCUGUCUCUUAUAC